UUCUUCCUAUCCCUCCUCUUUGGGUCUCUGUGUGUUCACAUCUGCAUACAGCCUAGUAAAGAACUAUUUUGGGAUUCAAUUAGGGUCUGCUCUCAUCUUCUUGCCAGGGUCCCUCACAAAUUUAUUAUCCACUCUGCCUUGGUUCCAAAUUAAAGCCAUCAUCUAUAAUAGUUCACCAGAUUUGGGGAGCUUUUCCUUUUGAUACUAGUGACACUGAGAACUGACUUGUGAACUCCCAGGCAGCAGGAGAAUAUUAAUGGUAAGUCGUUGGCCAUUUACCCUGCCCCCCGCCCCUCUCACUUCACUGGGGAGAACUCUGGGAGGUCUGUAAGGUCGGGAUAGAUCUAUAUUGUAAGAGGCAGUGAGACUGAAAUAGCAUUACUAUUCCAUUUGGGUCUGUUGUCGUACUUAAAACAAAAAGACUAUUAUGAAGCCCAUAGAUCAGCUGCCGUAAAAGCUUCCAUAAAGCCCUGAUCGCUAUAUGAGGUUAUAACAGCAGUGUUAAUCUUCUCUACAGUGUUUACACAGCUAGCUCAUCCAUGGUGUCGCUGGACUUGGGCCAGCUUGCUAGAGAACAUUCUUGAUUAAAAAAUGUAAAAGUUGUGUUGCUUUAAGCAGUGACCCUAGGAGUUUACAUAUACCUGGGUUAUCAGUUCCCUCAUAAUUCAUGGAUCUGAAUUGCAAAUUUGGGGGAGGCUGGUUUGGAUUUCACACUCUUGUGAUUCAGUUGGGGCAAAGGAUUUAAUUACACUGCCAGUCCAGCAUGGAGGUAUCAGCCCAGGCUUCUCAACAAGGAAACCAAAUCUAUUUUGGAGAUGCAUGUCAAUUUUAUCCCCCCCCCCUUCCAGAUGCAUGUCAAUUGCCCCCCCCCUUUUCAUAGAAACUUUUUGGGCUUCUGAUUGGUUUUCCAAAUUAGAUAAGGAAGUUUAUGGUUCACACUCGGAACUGAGGUUCUCCCAAUGCCACACUAGUUAACUGGGAUCCUUACAAGAAAUGGUUAUCCCAGUAAUAAACUUGGAAGUGUUUUUGACCCAUUGACAUUUUGAAAGCAGGUCAUUUAUAGGGGGAGAAGAAGCAUUUUAACUAUUUAAAAUGUAAACUCAUAAGCACAUGAAAGCUGAAAGAGAUCAAAACUAAUUUUUUCCUCCUCCAUAAAAUGAGAAAAAUAAUAGCAGCUUCCUCCUAGGUUGUUGCCAAGAACAAAUCAGAGGAUAUUUGCAAAGCACAUUAUUAUUGUUGUUAUUAUUAUUUCCUUUAUCAGAUUCAUGUUUUCCUUUCCUACUUCCAAUCCUCCCUCCACCCAUUGCAAUAGACACUUCUGCCUUUUUUUCCCCCCUGAAUUUUUAUGUUGUCCUUUUAAUAGCCAACCCUCAAUUGGAAUGAGGAUGGAAAAGCAAAAUUUAUUUAGAAAGAUAAUUUUUCCCAUGACCAUAGAAAUGAUCAGUAUCCUAAAGGUUUCUUCCCCCCAUCCCUAAACAUUCUAUCUUUAGCUUUUCUCUUAAUAAACCCUGAAAAACUAUAAAUCCCCAAAUCCUCCUCAUCCAGUCUAAUUUCACUAAUUUCAAUCUAUUUUGUUUAUUUAUUUGUUUUGGGGAAACAGCCUUUAGAUAGGCUGGCAACUGUUAUUAUUUUUUAAAACCCAAUUUGUGUUUGAUACACGUUUAGAAAUGUCAAUCUCCAUCUUUCUUCAAUUGUCCAAUCUGACUGAAAAAUAGUCUCUGAUGAAAAUUUUGCAUAUCGUAUCUAUGUCUUAACUCCAACAUUUAGACAAUCUGCCAAGAAAACAUUUUGCUUUUGAUCUUGAAAUAAAGGGGGAAAAAACAACCAAAAACCACUUGCUUUUACAAUCAUGGAAAGAAAAGCAUUUCUUUUAAGAAAACCCAGGUUAGCAGGACAAAAGCAUCAUGGCAUGUGAUCUGUUGAAAGACAUUUGGAAAAUGAAAGUCUUGCCUAAAGUAUAACUUAAUCUCACUGGGGCAAUGGGCACAAUCUGGAAUGUCUUGCUCGGGCACACAGUGAGUGAAGGAAGCCAACCAGUAGCUUGCAUGAACCUAGGCUCUUUGGAAGCAGGAUCCAUCUGUAUUUCACAACUAAUCAUUUAAUAUAAAACUUUCCUGAGUCAAACAGGUUUUAGAGAAAAUACAAAUCAAAUACUUAACACAGCUAACAUUUCCUGUCCGGGGAAGCAUUUGUUUAGAGAGAGUGAAGUUUUUUAAAGUGUAGUUUCAUUGGAAAACCAAUUAAUUUCCAGCCUGCAGCAGGAUGUAUUAGCUCUUUAAUAUGACUUGCUUUAGGCUGGCUUUUCACAGAGCCGAAUGUGUAGACAUUUGGCCCAGUGACUUUGUAAUAUGUAGGCAGGGGACCAACAUUCAAUAUCCCAAUUUGGGAUUUAUUUUAAUGUAUACUAUUAUCUCUGGUCACAGGAAAGAUUAAUAUAUAUGUGUAUAUAUAUAUAUAUAUAUAUAUAUAUAUUUAUGUACAUUCCCCUCCUCUUUACUCCUGUUAGUUUGCUUCUUCUGUCCUAGUCCUGGAAAAAUGAAUUAUAUAUUUUAAUUCGUUGUAUUUCCUCUAUUGAUUGUUUAGUUAGUGACUUUGCCAACUUCCUGGAGGUUCAUGUCGGAUUCUGCAAAAGGACUGCAUUUCCUUUUGGAAUGGGGACUGAGAAAGAGAGGCAGCAGAGGCCCGGGUCCACCAGUAAAUUCUCUAUAUAUGCUGAAAGACCAGUGAUGUCACCAUGUGGAUACUUCCUGGAAUGAUGCAGGCGGAAACCCCUCUCUGUCCCAUGGAGAUGGUUUUGACCAUAAAUCGCAUCUACCUGCCUGCCUUUCCCCUCCAGUCACUGAUAAAGGAUGGGAUGAUCCAACAAAGAAGCCAUGUGCCAUCAUCUCAGCACCAGCUCUGACACUGUUCCAAGAUUUUGGCCAUCGCUGAGGCUCCAUUCCAUGACCCGCAUAAAGAUGCCACAGCCACCAAUGACCAUAACUAAUAACACCUGCUUGGUGAACUCAGGGAGCCCAAGAAUGGAAUGGAGGCAGCUUGGUAAGAAAUUCCAUCGCUGCAAUAUGGAAGUGUUUAAGCCUGGCCAACACCAGUCAGGGUAGCAGAGAUCUGAACCUUUAAAUUACCGCCAUUCCCUGCCUGAGGGAAAAGUAAAUAAACAAUUCACAGCUGCAUCACCUAAACACAGAAACACAGCUAUCUCUUUGGGGCUGUGAUUGCUGAACAAGUAAUUAAGUGGGAAAUGUGAGCCCUCAAUGUCAGUGUGACAUGAUAAAGGUCUCAGGCUGUAAAUUAACUGAACCCCAGAGAGACCUGGGGAUUAACCCUUGCAGCCAGGAGAGGUGAGAGCAGUCUUAUCAGCCCAAAGUGUCAGCUUCAUGGAAAUGGGAUGCAAUAUAGGCCAUGGAUCCAACACUCUGAACUCACCAGGGCUGUUUUUAUCUGAUUAUUUAAACGCUCUGGAAUUUGGAUGACUUCCCUGUGGAGCCCUUGUAAACGCUCAAGGGAAAGGUAGACUGAGUAAGGCUUGGAGAGUGAAAUUCCUUGGGUUUAGUACUUCUCUCAAGGAACCAAUUAAACACCUAUUUUGUUGUUGUUGUUUUUAGAAAUUGGCGAUGUCCAAUAGUAUACGAGGGGCUAGGUUUCUAAAUGGAAAAAAAAAUGCUUAAAGGUUGGGUUAGGAGCACGUUUGUAAUGAGAUAAUUGGACAAACAACAUCUGGCUGGAAGUUAGCUAAUUUGAGUUUCAAUUUUGUUUUCAAUAGUUCUAGUUCUGUGACUUUGGUUGACUUAACUUUUUAGAACCUCAGCUUCUCCAUUUGUGAAAGGAUUAUAGGGAUGAUAGCUCACAUGUAAGCAUGGCUUUCAGGUUUACAAAGCAUCUUACACACAUUUUCUUGUUGGAGAGGUAGUAUGCAUUUGGAAUCAAAGUGCCUUGCAUUGAAUCAUGACUAUGGGUGCUGAUUACCUGUGGGAUGACCUUGUGCAAGUCAGUUCACAGGUUCCUCAUCAGUAAGAUAAGAGGAUUGGAUAAUAUUGUCCCUAUGGUCCAUACUGUACAAUGGAACAAGUCAGCUCCAGGGUCAGACAACUUCGGUUCAAAUCUCAACUCUGCUGCUUAGUACCUUAGGCAUCUCACCCAACUGACCUGGACUUCAGUUUCCUCAAAGAGUUGAACCAGAAGACUUCCGAGUUAGUUUUCUCAUAGCGCUAUACUUAUAAUCCUUCCACUAUCUAUUACUCUUUUGUUUUUCCAACAAACCUAUUAGACCAGUUGAGUAUUAUACCCUCAUAGAAAAAGUAACAGUUUUUAGAAGGGAUUUCCUCAGAGAAGUAAACUCACAUUUUACUUUACAUACCUCACAGGGCUUUUAUCUAUGUCAAGUAAGAGCAUCUAAGUGUUCUAUUUUGGUAGAGUUCUGUUUAAAUAGAAAUUAUAAUAAUUAUUACUAUUAUUAUUAUUAUCAUAAGUAUCAUAGUAUGCCUUAAAGAAAAGUGAUAGCUUUCCCCCUCCUUGGAUAGACAGACUUCUCCAUAGACAGAGGGAUUCAGAAUAGAAAAUAUGAGCUCCAUAUGACAAAUAAAGGAAUAGAUUGGAAUAUGCUUUGAUGGAAAUCACUAGAAAUUAGUGGGAGACUGUGAGAACUGUUAUGGUAAUAGAGAAAAAGACAUUUGGUUGGGAGAUUUUUUGGUUCAUUCUUGUUGGUAAUUUAUAAUGUUAACUUGGGGCAAACUGACUAAGGGGACUUAUGGGACCCAGUUCUCUGCUCCAUGAAAUAAGAAGGUUGGACUAGAUCAGGAAUUGUUGCCCCAGAAUCCACAGACUCCCAAGAAAACCAGGCAAAAAUUUUAGGGGCUUUAUGAACUUGGAUAGUUCCUUGGAUAGGAAAAUAAUUCAUCUUAAUUUUCACUAACAUCUAACUGAAUGAAUUCAAUUAUGAAUACAGGUAAUAUAUCACUGAAAUAUUAAGGUUGUCCAGACUACCAAAGGGGUUCAUUAAACAAAAAAAAAUGUUAGGAACUCCUGGACUCUGUGAUUUCUAAGGAUCCAUCUCCAACAUUCUGUACUCUGAGAUUUUUUUUUUGCUCUGGUAUUCUCUUAUGCAGGUAUUUUCUUGUUCUAGAGUUCUGUGGAUUUUGAAGGCUGUUUCAAGGGCUAAAGCAAUAUUGAUGGGGUAAUUGCAGUUCAUCAUCGAUUUACAGUGAGGUUUCAAUUAGUGCAAAUAAAGAAUCCCCUGGAGUGGCUGCAUGUAUUUGAAUUCACAACAUUGAACGUUAUUUCUAUGUCAAAUAUAGCCCAACCUAAUGGAAAUAUGCAGUGUGAAUCUGAAUACUGUAGUCACUUUAAUGACUUUAUUUUUCAUACUAAUCAAUUCCUGUUUGUAUUAUUAAAUGACUUUGGUUUCUUGUUAAUUCUGGCAAAGACAUUUGUUAAUAUAGAGUAAAAUUUACCAUGAUGUUGUGGAAAGGGUUAGGGUUAGGACUUCUGUCCAGUCAAUUAUCAAAAUUCCAAAUUAAGGAAUAAUUCCUUAUUAUUGUUGUGUUAAGCAAACCAUAGCCUCUCUGGACUCUUUUCUAGAUGAGGGCUAAAGUUAAGGGAUUUGGAUUCAAAAUCAUCCUCUUCCAGGUAAUGAAAUGUUAGUUUAGAGCUACCCAGGGGAGGGAGGGAGGAAGGGAUAAAGGGAAGAAUUGCUUAAAUGCCUAAGGUCUCACACAAAUCUUGUGACAGAGUCUCCAGUUCCUUGUGCCGGAUCGUAGACUCUAUAGGAUAAAGGUUGAGGCAGGGAGUGAAGCACUUCUGAACUCUGACUCUUACCUCAUGUUUGGAACUCUCCUCUUCAUCUUCAUCUCCAGCUUUCUUCAAAUCUCAGCUAAACUCUCAACUUCUUCAAAAAACCUUUUCCAAUACCACUUAAAACCAGUGCCCUCCUAACUUUCUCAGUCUGUUGUCUGUAGAUAAAUGCUUGAUUGACUGUUUAUCUAUCAUCUGCUUAAAGACUUCCAGUGUGAAAGAAAUCCCCUAUUGCCUGAAGCAACCCAUUUCUCUCUUGAAUAGCUGCAAGGUUUACCUUUCACACAAUAUGGAUUUCCCUUUUUGCUACUCCAGUUCUGCCUCCUAGAUUCAAAUAGUUCUAACUCAUUCAAAUACUUGAAUGUGAUAUAAUGAUCCUUCUAAGUGUUCCUUUUUUAAUGCUAUGCAUCCCUUUCCCUUUAUCUUUACCCAGUCUUCAUAAAGCAUGAAUUCAAGAUUAUUUCCUGUUUAUUCUGGCUGAACCUCAUCUAGGCAUUUUUCAGCUUAUCUGUAAUGGUGGAUCCUGAAAUCAAAUCUGAUCUCAGACCUUUACAUAGCUGUGUGAUCCUGUAGA